rnacentral:rRNA from 1 species
AGUGAACGCUGGCGGUAGGCCUAACACAUGCAAGUCGAACGGCAGCACAGUAAGAGCUUGCUCUUACGGGUGGCGAGUGGCGGACGGGUGAGGAAUACAUCGGAAUCUACUUUUUCGUGGGGGAUAACGUAGGGAAACUUACGCUAAUACCGCAUACGACCUACGGGUGAAAGCAGGGGAUCUUCGGGCCUUGCGCGAUUGAAUGAGCCGAUGUCGGAUUAGCUAGUUGGCGGGGUAAGGCCCACCAAGGCGACGAUCCGUAGCUGGUCUGAGAGGAUGAUCAGCCACACUGGAACUGAGACACGGUCCAGACUCCUACGGGAGGCAGCAGUGGGGAAUAUUGGACAAUGGGCGCAAGCCUGAUCCAGCCAUACCGCGUGGGUGAAGAAGGCCUUCGGGUUGUAAAGCCCUUUUGUUGGGAAAGAAAAGCAGCAGGUUAAUACCCCGCUGUUCUGACGGUACCCAAAGAAUAAGCACCGGCUAACUUCGUG